rnacentral:piRNA from 1 species
UAGGAAAUGGGUGAAACUUAGCAAG